UACGUAGGUGGCAAGCGUUGUCCGGAUUUACUGGGCGUAAAGAGCGCGCAGGCGGUCGUUCAAGUCGCGUGUGAAAGCCCCCGGCUCGACUGGGGAGGGUCACGCGAUACUGAUCGACUCGAAGGCAGGAGAGGGAAGUGGAAUUCCCGGUGUAGUGGUGAAAUGCGUAGAUAUCGGGAGGAACACCAGUGGCGAAGGCGACUACCUGGCCUGUUCUUGACGCUGAGGCGCGAAAGCUAGGGGAGCAAACGGG
rnacentral:rRNA from 1 species